rnacentral:rRNA from 1 species
GAUCGGCCCGCGUCUGAUUAGCUUGUUGGUGGGGUAACGGCCUACCAAGGCGACGAUCAGUAGCUGGUCUGAGAGGAUGAUCAGCCACACUGGGACUGGGACACGGCCCAGACUCCUACGGGAGGCAGCAGUGGGGAAUAUUGGACAAUGGGCGCAAGCCUGAUCCAGCCAUGCCGCGUGAGUGAUGAAGGCCUUAGGGUUGUAAAGCUCUUUUGUCCGGGACGAUAAUGACGGUACCGGAAGAAUAAGCCCCGGCUAACUUCGUGCCAGCAGCCGCGGUAAUACGAAGGGGGCUAGCGUUGCUCGGAAUCACUGGGCGUAAAGGGCGCGUAGGCGGCCGAUUAAGUCGGGGGUGAAAGCCUGUGGCUCAACCGCAGAAUUGCCUUCGAUACUGGUUGGCUUGAGACCGGAAGAGGACAGCGGAACUGCGAGUGUAGAGGUGAAAUUCGUAGAUAUUCGCAAGAACACCAGUGGCGAAGGCGGCUGUCUGGUCCGGUUCUGACGCUGAGGCGCGAAAGCGUGGGGAGCAAACAGGAUUAGAUACCCUGGUAGUCCACGC